UCGCUAGUAAUCGCAGAUCAGCAUUGCUGCGGUGAAUACGUUCCCGGGCCUUGUACACACCGCCCGUCACGUCACGAAAGUCGGUAACACCCGAAGCCGGUGGCCCAACCCCCUUGUGGGGAGGGAGCUGUCGAAGGUGGGACUGGCGAUUGGGACGAAGUCGUAACAAGGUAGCCGUACCGGAAGGUGCGGCUGGAUCACCUCCUUU
rnacentral:ncRNA from 1 species